CAGAGUUGAUCAGUGGCUGUCCAGGCCUUUCAGAGCCACUGACACACCAGCAGCACAAUGAUGAUGUCACUGGCUCUACUGCUGACCAUCCUGGGGCUCCUGGUUCAGGGUUCCUCAGCAGUCAUCACCCUGACUCAGACUCCAGGAUCUCAGUCUGUUACUCCGGGACAGACUGUCUCCUUUAGCUGUAAAGCCAGUUCACCUGUUGAUGAUGAUUUGCACUGGUACCUUCAGAAACCUGGAGCAGCUCCAAAGCUCCUUAUCUAUUCCGCUUCUUCACGUUGGACUGGAGUGUCUGAACGUUUCACUGGAAGUGGAUAUGAUAUUGAUUUUACUCUGACCAUCAGCAGAGUUCAGGCCGAAGAUGCAGGAGUUUAUUACUGUCAACAUAGUGAGAACUUCCCGUUCAUACAGUGAUGCAACGUCGUACAAAAACCUCAUGGCUGCAGAGGAACUGAUCCACAGCUGCACUGAAAAACAAGUUGUACAUGUAGGGAAUAAAAGAAAAGUUUAAUACAAA